AAAAAAAAACAAUAAAUUUUUGGGGUUCCCCAUACUUCGAACUGAAACUCAAAUUUUUUUUUCAUCAAACCCAUACGUGUGGGGUAUCUAUGGAUAGGUCUUCAAAAAUGAUAUUGAGGUUUCUAAUAUCAUUUUUUUCUAAACUGAACAGUUUGCGCGAGAGACACUUCCAAAGUGGUAAAAUGUGUAAAACUAAAAAUAAUAUAUGAUGUACAUUACCAUGCAAACUUCCACCGAAAAUUGGUUUGAACGAGAUCUAGUAAGUAAGAAAAAAAAUUUUUUGGGGGUUCCCCAUACUUAGAACUGAAACUCAAUUUUUUUUCAUCAAACCCAUACGUGUGUGGUAUCUAUGGAUAGGUCUUCAAAAAUGAUAUUAAGGUUUCUAAUAUCAUUUUUUUCUAAACUUAAUAGUUUGCGUGAGAGACACUUCCAAAUUG